AACGAACGUUGGCGGCGUGCCUAACACAUGCAGGUCGUGCGAGAAAGUUCCUUCGGGAGCGAGUAAAGCGGCGCACGGGUGAGUAACACGUAGGUAACCUGCCCCCCAGUCUGGAACAACUAGAGGAAACUCUAGCUAAUGCCGGAUGAGACCACGAUCCCUUCGGGGGUUGCGGCCAAAGAUGGCCUCUACUUGUAAGCUAUCGCUGAGGGAUGGGCCUGCGGGCCAUUAGCUUGUUGGUGAGGUAACGGCUCACCAAGGCUGUGAUGGCUAGCUGGUCUGAGAGGAUGACCAGCCACACUGGGACUGAGACACGGCCCAGACUCCUACGGGAGCAGCAGUGGGGAAUAUUGCGCAAUGGGCGAAAGCCUGACGCAGCGACGCCGCGUGGGUGAUGAAGGCCU
rnacentral:rRNA from 1 species